UGAUACAAGAACAAAACAUAGCACAUGCGAUUCACUGUAAAUCAGAUUUGUAUUUUACAUUCAUCAAACAUAAUAGAAUAAAACAAACAGUACAUGACAAUAGUUAGAGGAGGUGAUGAGGCUAUGUGCGGAGAGGUGGAGGAAGAGAAGACGGUAGCAUUGAUUGAAACAACGGGUAGUAGUUGAUAUGCUCAAUUAACCUUCCAGUUACUCUCUCAAAUAAGAUGUUUGAUGUAGUACUUGAGGAUCAUAUCUACAGAGACUCGAUAUUUCACACAAUAGACAUUAGCUUCAGAUCAUGCUAUGUCAAAGUAUAAUAAGCAGUAAAUAAAGUAAACAGUUGUGAACAAGGCAGUAAAUUGAUGAGUU
rnacentral:lncRNA from 1 species